rnacentral:rRNA from 1 species
CAAAACCCCCAAUCCUAGAAAGACCUUAGAGUCUCUAAAUAAAUAAAUAAAUAAUUCCAAUAAAAAUAAAACAUUAAAUCAAUAAUACACAUAAAUUAAGUUAAGUAAUAGAGAAUGAAAAACUAAUAUUAUCACAAUAGAAAAAUUCAAAUAUGGAAAACAAUCCCCAAAAAAGAAAGAGAACAUCUACAUAAAAAGUACUGAAAAGGAAAAGAUAUAAAUACACCAAUCUAGAACAUAUAAUAAACACCCAAUAUUAUUCCUUUUGCAUCAGGAGCUUAUAAGAAAAAUCAUAAAUAAAUUUAUUACCAUAAAUAAAAACACACUAAACUAUAAAAAAUUUAUGAAACCCGAAACCUUGUGAUCUAACCAUAAACAGAUUAAAAAAGAACCAAUUACUAAAUGUUACAAUAUUUUUAAACGAAUUAUGACUAGAAACAAAAAGUUAAUCGCACAAGGAAAUAACUGGUUUUCGAAGAAAUAUAUCUAAGUAUAAAAAAAUCAGAAAAUACUUCUAAAACAAGAAAUUCUGAAUCUACAACAAAGACAAACUAAUUGUGAUAAGAUAAUUAGUUUAAAUGAAAACAGCCAUAAUCUAAAUUAAAAGAAAAACAAUAUUUUUAAAAAAUAAUAAAAAGUAGACCUAAAAACAGCCACCUUCUAACAAAAACGUAAUUGUUUACUACAACACAUUUAAAAUAAAAAAUUCCAAUUUCAAUAAACUCAAGAUUAGAUUUCCUAAAAAGAUAUUCGAAUAACACAAAUAAUUUAAGCACUAGUAAAUAACACCCACACCCAAAGAAAAAAAACCGGCCUACAAAUAACAUAUGUAACACAAACCUAAAUAUAUAACACAAAAGCCGUUCUUCAAUCCAACCCAGGUGGGACUAAUAAAAUAAUAAUAAAAAAGUUUUAAGGAACUCGGCAAAAAAGGAACUCGACUGUUUACCAAAAACAUAGCCAAUAGAAAAAAUUAUUAAUGGUGAUGCCUGCUCAAUAAUUAAACAUAAACAAUAAAAAAUAAUUAAAUAGCUGCGGUAACACCUGACCGUGCAAAGGUAGCAUAAUAAAUCGCCUACUAAUUAUAGGAUAGAAUGAAGGUAAUACGAAGACCCAACUGUCUCAAAACUAAACAAUACAAAAUAGAAUGUGUGUGCAAAUCCACACCAAGACGGCAAGACGAUAAGACCCUAAGAACUUUACCAAAAACUUAAAAACAAAAACGUAAGUCAUAAGUUUCGUUGGGGCAACGAUCUUUUAAAAAGUAACUAAGAUUAACUAAUCACACUAAAAAAAAAUCAAAUUAAAAACAAGACGAUAAGACCCAUUAUAAAAAGAAAAUAAUGAUAACAUAAUAAAAGUUCCCUAGGGAUAACAGCGUUAUAUCGUUUCCAGAGAAUCAUCCAAACGAUGUUUGCGACCUCGAUGUUGAAUUGCUAUAUCCCAAAAUGUAGCCACAUUUAAGGGUUGGACUGUCCUUCCAUUAAAAUAGCCCAUGAUUUGAGUUCAGACCGAGGCAACUCAGGUCAGAUUCUAUCUACUGUCCCAAAAAUGAGAUCUGAUAUAAGUACGAAAGGAAAAUAUCUACUACCCCAUAAUAACACACGAAAAAAAAUUAAGUUUAUAAAACAUAAUACUCUACUACCUAC